GGCGCAGCUGGGACCGGGUCGGCCCGCGCCGCUCCCCAGCCAAGCGCCCUCUCGCCAGCGCUCACGGGCACGGGGCUUUCGGGCGACCCGACGUCCCUGGGGCUCCCUCUCGCCGCCCGCGAGGCCUCCCCCGGUCAGACCUCCGUCCCCGGACCGCUACUCACUCGGGCCUCCCAACGUCCUGGCCCCGAACUUGGCCCGCCCGGGGGCGCAGGGAGCGAGCCCGGUGCCCAGGCGCUGCCGCGGCCGCCUCGCCUUUCGACUCGCCAGCCCUUCCUGCGGCGCGCCGGGGCCGGACGGCCCGGGCGGGCAACGUGGCCCUUCCCCGGCAGGCGGGGCGGGGCGGGGCGGACUGACGGGCGGGACCGACCGCCCUCCGCGUCCCGCCCCCCGGCCGGCGUCCGCGGCCCCCUCCUCCUGGCCCGCCUCCUUUCCCCGCCGCUUCUCAGGCAACCCAGGGCCCAAGUUUUCCCAGGCCCCCAACUUCGGGAGUCGGCUUUCCUGCUCCCUGGCGCAACCCUGAGGGUGGACGCCCGACCCCACCCCUGCCCUCGGCCCCCCAGCGCAGCCGCCCUGCCUGGAGCCUCAAGUGGGCCCGCGGUCCAGGAAAGGCGUUCACCAAACCCCAGGCCAAGGGCUGGGAGCCGGUGCCCCCGCCCCAACCCAGGGGAGGCUGAGGGAGCCUGGGUGGGGGCCCCAGGGCGCGUGGGGCAAGGGCAGAAGAGGAACCAGGGUGCCCGACGCGGGGCCGGGGAAAAACACCUGUGCCAAAGCAAGUCAGGGCCAGCUGUGGCUUCUUCCCUUUUGUUUUUCCUUUGUGGGUGGGGAAUGAGAGCGUUAGUUCUAAGUAAAGAAAGCAGAGAGAGACCUGUCAGCAGGGUAGGCCCACCAGCCCUAGGCGGGAAGGACUCGGUCACAAGCUUUGGCGGGAGCACCAUGGAAAAGCCCAGAACCGGUCUGCGCCUGGCUGGUGUUUUAAAGGGGAGGAAGGUGCGGAACUGA
rnacentral:lncRNA from 1 species